GUGUAAGUAUGAACAAAUUUAGACUGUGAAACUGCGAAUGGCUCAUUAAAUCAGUUAUAGUUUGUUUGAUGGUAUUUGCUACUGAGAUAAUCGUAGUAAUUCUAGAGCUAAUACGUGCAACAAACCCGACUUCUGGAAGAGAUGCAUUUAUUAGAUAAAAGGUCGAUGCGAGCUUUGCCCGUUGCUCUGAUGAUUCAUGAUAACUCGAUAGAUCGCACAGCCUUGUGUCAACGACGCAUCAUUCAAAUUUCUGCCCUAUCAACUGCUUAAUUAAAACAAAACAUUGCGAUGGCCCCUACGGAUACUCACGCAAUGUG
rnacentral:ncRNA from 1 species